rnacentral:lncRNA from 1 species
AUUUCAGCUGCCUCAGCAACGGCAGCGACGAGCCAGGUUACAUUUGUGGAGCGCGCCGAGCCUUCAACAUUGCAGAGAUGCCCUCGGUGUCUGGUAGAUGGCAGCAGAUUCUACACAAGGAUCUAGUGGCCGCAUAAUCUGGAAACCCUGCUGUUGGAAACCUCUGGAUCUGAACAUAAACACUGCUCAUUACCUUGUGCACACAUGACUUGCACACAGCCUCCUGUACCAAAGAUGCAGCCAAUCCACCUUCGAUCACUUUGGAAUAAGCUAAUGUGUAAGGCAAACGAGGCUGUUGCGACCUGGGCCUGUACUGCCAGCACGCAUGCAUUGGUGUCUGAAAAAGCUCAGCGUUUCAUCAAGACGUGGCUGUCGAAGUUUGUUGGCCUCGAUGGAGGUUAGGAAAGGCACUUCACAGAUGUGUUCAUAUAUUUGCAGCCCAGUCGCUGCUGCCCCUCGGAGCAGGGAUCUGCGACAGCCUGUGAUGGUUGGUUUCCUGCCCAAUCGCUGCUUGCAGGACCCUGGGCAGCCCACUGUCAUUGCCUCAUCUCCUGCUGCAGCCUCUGAAUCAUCGCCCAACCUCUGCUGCCCUGGCCAGCCCUAUGCCCAUAGAGCCUUGCUGAACUCGCCUCCUAGUUUGGGCUGCAUUACUGAACUGCAGUAACUUGAAAAGCCUAACUGAAAAAUAAAUGGUUUGACUUGGUAUACUUAGAAAUAAAGGCAAAAGAAAUUGUG